CCCGGGCGCGAAGCGGCCGCUGCGGCCUGUCCCGGCCCGCCGAGCCGAGCCGAGCCGAGCCGAGCCGAGCCGAGCCGAGCCGAGCGGGGCGGCCUCAGCCUCAGCCUCGGCCUCGGCGCCUUCCUGCCGGGCCCGGGGGUCGCGGGGCCGCUCGGGAGCCCGGGGCGUUUUCUCUGCUGACACCGCUGAGAGGAUUUCUGCCCGCUUUGGACAGACUGCAGGCUGUGCUGAUUGAUCAGAMUACAUCCUCCUCACUAACCAGAAUCUACGUUAGAAAAGUCUCAGAGCUACAUGGAACAGUUCCAGUGACUCUCAUCCCUCAAACUGCUYGCAGCUGUCUGCUACCUGGAUGUUACUGUCCAAAAGAGCUCAGCUGGCAGAAGGGAACCUCUGAGCACUUUGUGCCGUUAGCCAACUGA
rnacentral:lncRNA from 1 species